rnacentral:rRNA from 1 species
UACGUAGGGGGCGAGCGUUGUCCGGAAUCAUUGGGCGUAAAGCGCGCGUAGGCGGUCUCUUAAGUCGGAUGUGAAAGCCCUUGGCUCAACUGAGGAAGUGCAUCCGAAACUGAGAGGCUUGAGUACGAAAGAGGGUCGCGGAAUUCCCGGUGUAGAGGUGAAAUUCGUAGAUAUCGGGAGGAACACCGGUGGCGAAGGCGGCGACCUGGGUCGAUACUGACGCUGAGGCGCGAAAGCGUGGGGAGCAAACAGG